rnacentral:tRNA from 1 species
GGGGCCUUAGCUCAGCUGGGAGAGCGCUACGAUGGCAUUGUAGAGGUCAGGAGUUCGAUCCUCCUUGGCUCCACCA